GCCUUCGUGGUGUAGUGGUCAGCACACUGAGCCGUUAUUUCAGAGGUCCGUGGUUCGAUUCCCGGCGAAGGCG
rnacentral:tRNA from 2 species